rnacentral:lncRNA from 1 species
AACUUCGUCGAGGUAUCGUGCGCAAGAUCGAGGGGUCUGGAAACGCACUGUCGACCUGCGACGCUUCCGAGGUCGAGGGAGUUUGGGACUCUACUAUCGACUCACGGAGCAUCCCAAACUUGGUCGAGGUAUUUGAGAAAGAUCGAGACCGAGCUCGAUAGCAGCAUAGCGGGGUACUUCAGGCUUGAUUGCAGCAUUUGAGCUUUGCCGAGUGGUCGAGUGUCCGAGCUUUGUCGAGCAGUCGAGCUUGGCCGGGCAUCCGAGCUUGGUCGGGAAUCUCUGGGAUUUAUGAGCGUCCCAGUGUCAGGAGCAUGAAAUAAUUAAUGGAGAACCGUAAACAAAUCAUAAAUGGAAAGAGAAUUGCAUUCCUGUUUGUCGACGAUCUCCGAAGGGUUUAUUGGUAGUACAUCCGAAGGUUCUUGGAGUUCCAGCUUCGAGGGAUAGAGGUCCCCUCAAGAGUCUCCAAUUUGUAAGCCCCGGGCCGCUGGACUCGCGCGACUCGGUAAGGUCCUUCUCAGUUCGGGGCUAGUUUCUCCUGCUCGGUGGGCUGAGAGGCCUCAGCCCUCC